rnacentral:rRNA from 1 species
CGACGCCCAACACACAAAACAAGCGGUGAGUGCUUUGGGGUGGGGUGACUGCGUACCUUUUGUAUAAUGGGUCAGCGACUUAUAUUCUGUAGCAAGGUUAACCGUAUAGGGGAGCCGAAGGGAAACCGAGUCUUAACUGGGCGUUAAGUUGCAGGGUAUAGACCCGAAACCCGGUGAUCUAGCCAUGGGCAGGUUGAAGGUUGGGUAACACUAACUGGAGGACCGAACCGACUAAUGUUGAAAAAUUAGCGGAUGACUUGUGGCUGGGGGUGAAAGGCCAAUCAAACCGGGAGAUAGCUGGUUCUCCCCGAAAGCUAUUUAGGUAGCGCCUCGUGAACUCAUCUUCGGGGGUAGAGCACUGUUUCGGCUAGGGGGUCAUCCCGACUUACCAACCCGAUGCAAACUGCGAAUACCGAAGAAUGUUAUCACGGGAGACACACGGCGGGUGCUAACGUCCGUCGUGAAGAGGGAAACAACCCAGACCGCCAGCUAAGGUCCCAAAGUCACAGUUAAGUGGGAAACGAUGUGGGAAGGCUCAGACAGCCAGGAUGUUGGCUUAGAAGCAGCCAUCAUUUAAAGAAAGCGUAAUAGCUCACUGGUCGAGUCGGCCUGCGCGGAAGAUGUAACGGGGCUAAACUGUGCACCGAAGCUGCGGCAGCGACGCUUAUGCGUUGUUGGGUAGGGGAGCGUUCUGUAAGCCUGCGAAGGUGUCCUGUGAGGGAUGCUGGAGGUAUCAGAAGUGCGAAUGCUGACAUAAGUAACGAUAA